AUAAUAAAUUCUCACUGUUCUUUCUGAGACAGUGAUGGGGUUCUUUACAAAUGUUUCAAACUGAAGAAACUGAACUCUGGGACACGGUGGUUCAUAAGAGAACGUGUUCUUCAGCUGGAUAAAUUGAAGGAGUGGCAGCUUUGUAAUAAACCUCCAGAUUGUAUGCCUCCAGCAAGGAACAAAUUAAAAGGAAAAACAAACAGGACUGUCACAUCAGAACCAUCUCCCAUUACCUCAGACCUUUCCAAUUACCAACAUCUCCAAAAGCAGUUAUUCCGCUUCUGAACUGUAAAUCCACCUGAAAACGUUUUUUGCAUUAAACCUGAAUUUUGAAAAGAAGACAAAGCUUACUGAGGUGACAGCUUACUCCUGACACUGUAUUAUUCAAGAUAACAGGAAGGGACCUGACUGAAAAACUGCAGAAGGACAUCAUGGAAUUGAGUGAUGGGCAAAUACAGCAGUGAAAUUCAAUGUUGUACCGUGCUUAGAUAGGAUUGAUGAGAAUAAGCGGAGACUUGAUUAAAUCUGAUUUGGUACAACUCCUUUAUAAGGACAACAAAACCCAAACCCAGGCACAACCCGACCCCGAGUGACAGCACGCAGCAGCGCGCGCCCCCUCAGCG